rnacentral:lncRNA from 1 species
UUUUUUUCUUUUUUAAAGGGACGAGGCUAUUGUUAUUGUUGUGGUUUAUGAGGAGGAGGAGGAGGAUGCUUGUGGAAGUUGGAAGCCUUUGGAAAACAGCCCGGAGGAAGUGGACCUGUGCUCUCACAAUUUCUUCCACAGCACCAUCCUUGAAGAAGAGGGAAACAACUCUCAGCUUUGAAUCGGAGGAAAAUAAUGGUAGGGGAUGGGAAUGCCAAGGUUUUGCACCAGUGGAACAAACAGCGAAGCACGCCUAAAACUGAGAUGGAAACAAAUGGAAAUACAUAUAUAAAAGAAUGUGCAAACCAAAUGCUGUCUCCUUCAUUGUUGGCAGGGAACCUGAAAAAUCAAACAAGAGCACUUUAUGUGGUGAUUUUUUAAAAUAUGUGGUCCCAUUCGUUUUUAUUUUUAUUAUAAAACUUGCCUCAAUCUAUUACAAAAUGGAGGAAUUCACGGCAGGUAUAGGAAACUGACUUUCACACCGAGUCUGGCCUUCAGUCUCUCUGUCUUACAACAGUUUAUUCUCAACUGACUUCACCUCUCCUCAAGGACUCAUGCAUGUGUUCUGUGCUGUCAGGUCCCAAUGGACUCACAGUGACCCUAGCAGGGUUUUCAAGGCCAGAUAUUUAAGAAGUGGUUUUACCAGUUCCACUCUCCCACUGAGCUUCCAUAGCCAAGUGGGGAUUUAAAUCCUUGCCUCAGAAUCCUACUCAGCCACUCUAGGCAGACAUUAUUUUUCCUGCCUGUUACCUGAGGUCUUCUAGUCUGACCAGGUAAGGCCUAAGCCCAUGGUUUUCUGCUUGUAGCACUGGAGGUCCACCAGAGGUAUGCACAGA